GAACUGAAGAGUUUGAUCCUGGCUCAGAUUGAACGCUGGCGGCAUGCCUUACACAUGCAAGUCGAACGGUAACGCGGGGCAACCUGGCGACGAGUGGCGAACGGGUGAGUAAUAUAUCGGAACGUACCCAGUAGUGGGGGAUAGCCCGGCGAAAGCCGGAUUAAUACCGCAUACGACCUGAGGGUGAAAGCGGGGGAUCGCAAGACCUCGCGCUAUUGGAGCGGCCGAUAUCAGAUUAGGUAGUUGGUGGGGUAAAAGCCUACCAAGCCGACGAUCUGUAGCUGGUCUGAGAGGACGACCAGCCACACUGGGACUGAGACACGGCCCAGACUCCUACGGGAGGCAGCAGUGGGGAAUUUUGGACAAUGGGCGCAAGCCU
rnacentral:rRNA from 1 species